UACGGAGGGUGCAAGCGUUAUCCGGAUUCACUGGGUUUAAGGGGUGCGUAGGUGGGCAGGUAAGUCAGUGGUGAAUCUCCGGCUUAACUCGGAAACUGCCAUUGAUACUAUCUUUCUUGAAUACCGUGGAGGUCAGCGGAAUAUGUCAUGUAGCGGUGAAAUGCUUAGAUAUGACAUAGAACACCAAUUGCGAAGGCAGCUGGCUACACGAAUAUUGACACUGAUGCACGAAAGCGUGGGGAUCAAACAGG
rnacentral:rRNA from 1 species